GAUGAAGAACGUAGCGAAAUGCGAUAAGUAAUGUGAAUUGCAGAAUUCAGUGAAUCAUCGAAUCUUUGAACGCACAUUGCGCCCCUUGGUAUUCCGAGGGGCAUGCCUGUUCGAGCGUCAUUAUAACCCCUCAAGCUCAGCUUGGUGUUGGGGCCUGCCGCACGGGCAGCCCUUAAAAUCAGUGGCGGUGCCAUCUGGCUCUAAGCGUAGUAAUUCUUCUCGCUAUAGAGUCCCGGUGGAUGCUUGCCAUUAACCCCCAAUUUUCUAUGGUUGACCUUGGAUCAGGUAGGGAUACCCGCUGAACUUAAGCAUAUCAAUAAGCGGAGGA
rnacentral:misc_RNA from 1 species